GACGAACGCUGGCGGCGUGCCUAAUACAUGCAAGUCGAACGCACUCUCGUUGAGCUUGCUGGUCUUUGCUCCUGAUCGGUCAACAUUUUAAUGAGUGGCUGACGUAUGUGUAACACUUGGGUAACUUGCCCUAAAGUGAGGGAUUACCUUUUGAAACAGUUGCUCAUAUCGUUUAAUACCUAACACCGCUUGUUCUGGCGUUGAAAGAUGGUUUCGGCUCUCACUUUCGAGUGGGCCCGCGGAGCAUUAGCUAGUUGGUGAGGUAACGGCUUACCAAGACAGCGAUGCAUAGCCGACCUGAGAGGGUAAUCGGCCACACUGGAACUGAGACACGGUCCAGACUCCUACGGGAGGCAGCAGUAGGGAAUCUUCCACAAUGGACGAAAGUCUGAUGGAGCAACGCCGCGUGAGUGAUGAAGGUUUUCGGAUCGUAAAACUCUGUUGUUGGAGAAGAACGUAUGUGAUAGUAACUGAUCAGGUAGUGACGGUACCCAAUCAGAAAGCCACGGCUAACUACGUG
rnacentral:rRNA from 1 species